UACGUAGGGGGCAAGCGUUGUCCGGAUUUAUUGGGCGUAAAGAGCGUGUAGGCGGCCUGGAAGGUCAGCUGUGAAAACUCGAGGCUCAACCUCGAGACGUCGGUUGAAACCACCAGGCUAGAGUCCGGAAGAGGAGUGUGGAAUUCCCGGUGUAGCGGUGAAAUGCGCAGAUAUCGGGAAGAACACCCGUGGCGAAGGCGGCACUCUGGGACGGUACUGACGCUGAGACGCGAAAGCGUGGGGAGCGAACGAGG
rnacentral:rRNA from 1 species